GACGAACGCUGGCGGCGUGCUUAACACAUGCAAGUCGAACGGAAAGGCUCCAGCUUGCUGGAGUACUCGAGUGGCGAACGGGUGAGUAACACGUGGGUAAUCUGCCCUGCACUCUGGGAUAAGCCUGGGAAACUGGGUCUAAUACUGGAUAUGACCUUUCUCCUUAUGGGGUUUGGUGGAAAGUUUUUCGGUGUAGGAUGAGCCCGCGGCCUAUCAGCUUGUUGGUGGGGUGAUGGCCUACCAAGGCGACGACGGGUAGCCGGCCUGAGAGGGUGAUCGGCCACAUUGGGACUGAGAUACGGCCCAGACUCCUACGGGAGGCAGCAGUGGGGAAUAUUGCACAAUGGGCGGAAGCCUGAUGCAGCGACGCCGCGUGAGGGAUGACGGGCCUUUCGGGUUGUAAAACCUCCUUUCAAGCCAGGGGACG
rnacentral:rRNA from 1 species